rnacentral:rRNA from 1 species
CUUGGCACUAGGAGCCGAUGAAGGACGGGAUUAACACCGAUAUGCUUUGGGGAGCUGUAAGUAAGCUUUGAUCCAGAGAUUUCCGAAUGGGGAAACCCUCUAUCCGUAAUGGGAUAGAAUCUUUACCUGAAUACAUAGGGUACUGAAGGCAGACCCGGGGAACUGAAACAUCUAAGUACCCGGAGGAAGAGAAAGCAAACGCGAUUCCCUGAGUAGCGGCGAGCGAAACGGGAUUAGCCCAAACCAAGAGGCUUGCCUCUUGGGGUUGUAGGACACUCUAUAUGGAGUUACAAAGGAACGGGGUAGACGAAUCGAUCUGGAAAGGUCAGUCGUAGAAGGUAAAAACCCUGUAGUCGAAACUUCGUUCCCUCUUGA